GCCUGGCUGGCUUAGUCGGUUAAGCAUCUGCCUUUCGUUCAGGUCAUGAUCCUGGGGUCCUGGAAUCAAGUCCAGGGUUGGGCU
rnacentral:tRNA from 1 species